rnacentral:tRNA from 1 species
UCCCGGGUCGACUAAGGGCAAGUCCACAGAUUUUGGUUCUGUUGAUGGGGGUUCGAAUCCUCCCCCGGGAG